rnacentral:lncRNA from 12 species
GGGGAAGCCCCCGCCCCCCCCCCCCCCCCCCCCCCCCCCCCCCCCCCCCCCCCCCCCCCCCCCCCCCCCCCCCCCCCCCCCCCCCCCCCCCCCCCCCCCCCCCCCCUGGGGUGCCAGGGGUGUGGGGUGCAGGGGGUCCGGGUACCGAGGGUACGGGGUACCGGUGCCCAGGGAGUCGCGUCACCCGCCGCUGUCCCCGCAGACCCCAGGACCCAGCAGAUACUGCACCGUGGACACCAACGUGUACAUGGCGCGGGCCCCCCGCUGCACCAUAGCGGGGCGGAGCCGCCCCCGCCCGAUCUUACACACCCCCGGGCCCUGCGACUACAGCCCCCAGCAGGGCCAGAAAAAAGGACAGACCUUCGGCGUGCGCCACUCGGAAAACGUGAUCCCCAUGAGGGACUCGCCCCCGUAGGGGAAGCGGAGACGUGGGCGGCACUGCCGGCCUGUGACAAACACGAACUGCAGCAGCACUCGCUCGCUCUCCUUCUGUCCCGCCGCGCCGCACGGGGGGUGCUUUGGGGGCUCCCCUAAAACCGCC